AACGAACGCUGGCGGCAGGCCUAACACAUGCAAGUCGAGCGCCCCGCAAGGGGAGCGGCGGACGGGUGAGUAACGCGUGGGAAUAUGCCCUUUGCUACGGAAUAGUCUCGGGAAACUGGGGGUAAUACCGUAUACGCCCUUUGGGGGAAAGAUUUAUCGGCGAAGGAUUAGCCCGCGUUGGAUUAGGUAGUUGGUGGGGUAAUGGCCUACCAAGCCGACGAUCCAUAGCUGGUUUGAGAGGAUGAUCAGCCACACUGGGACUGAGACACGGCCCAGACUCCUACGGGAGGCAGCAGUGGGGAAUAUUAGACAAUGGGGGAAACCCUGAUCUAGCCAUGCCGCGUGAGUGAUGAAGGCCUUAGGGUUGUAAAGCUCUUUCAGCUGGGAAGAUAAUGACGGUACCAGCAGAAGAAGCCCCGGCUAACUCCGUG
rnacentral:rRNA from 1 species